GGAUUUUUUAGAGUGACCUUGAGGAUUAAAAUCUCUUGGUAAAUCAUACAUCAUGAUACGUGGAGUUCAUGUAACACUGUGUAGUAUCAGGCUGAUGUAGGGGUGCAAAAGUCACCAGCUAAGACCCAGGGGCAGUUUCUCCAGCCACAGGAUUCCUUUGUAUUGCAAAGCCUAGAGAAUGAGGAGCAGAAGAAUUCGCAUACUCAAGAUUCAAGUAAAGAGCACAGGAAAUGUCUAUGAAGGAAAAAGCAGUGGAAGAAGAGAACAACAGCAUCAAAAAUAACUCUAUGCAUCGAACCUAAUCCUGUGCACCUGCUACUGCGUCACUGAAGAGACUGAGUGUAGCCUGCAGUGAUAACAAGGUGGGAGAGACGUUAGGAGUGAAAUCUGAUCACAUCUCAAAGGGAAGCUCCUGCAGAAAGCAGUGCUAUUUCCUCUGAAUAGAACAUCCUGGGGCGUGCAGGCAAUACCAACUAUCAUUUUGUAUUUGUAUUUCUUGACUGUUAUUCCUGUGGUGCUAUUUAAGGUGUUGACUGUGGUCAUAAAGAGAACUCAAAUUAGGUUGCAUGAUCAAGCUGGAAAAAUUAUCCUAGGCUUGCUGGGAAAGUCUGUGCAUAUGGCUGGAUAUGCACACACCAAGAUAGUGAAAGGAAUUAGGCUUCUGUAGGUUUUUAUCUAGAUGAAUUCCACUUGAAUGGAUUUAAUGCUGACUCUGCUUAGUUGGAUUGUCUAUUGAGUACUACUGAGUCUGAAGUAUAUAAAUGGUGUCCUCUCACUUAUACUGACACAAGAAAAUCAAGAUGAAUGCAGGAAAAUUAAAUUUCAGUGAUAUAUGUGAAGACUUAAGAAAUCAAAUUGGGAAAACUGGCAAUUAUUCUGCUAUACAAAAAAAGAAUUAAUUCCAAAUUUAAAUUUUUUUAGGUCAUGUUGUAUUUCAUCCUUCCUCAGACAAUGAUUUUUUAUCUUAGAAGACAUCCUUCAGAUAACAGUGCUUUCUCUUACGGUAGAAAUAGCAUUUUCCCAAACUGUUUGUUCCAAAUUUGGCUUUCAUUUCUCUAACUCAAGGAUAGAGACUGUGUCUCUUUUGAAAUUGUUAUUUCUGUCCAUAUAUCAUCAUGCAAAUACUUCUCAGAAUAAAAUUAAAUGGAUAAUUUAAAUGCAGUCUACUUAAGCAAGACAUUGUGUUUCUCUCCAAAUGAACAUUACACUGCAAUAACAUGGGC
ensembl:lncRNA